rnacentral:rRNA from 1 species
CCUACGCGAGGCAGCAGUGAGGAAUAUUGGUCAAUGGACGCAAGUCUGAACCAGCCAUGCCGCGUGCAGGAUGACGGCUCUAUGAGUUGUAAACUGCUUUUGUACGAGGGUAAACGCAGAUACGAGUAUCUGUCUGAAAGUAUCGUAUGAAUAAGGAUCGGCUAACUCCGUGACAGCAGCCGCGGGAAUACGGAGGAUUCAAGCGUUCUCCGGAUUUAUUGGGUUUAAAGGGUGCGUAGGCGGUCGGAUAAGUUAGAGGUGAAAUCCCGAGGCUCAACUUCGGAAUUGCCUCUGAUACUGGUCGGCUAGAGAAUAGUUGCGGUAGGCGGAAUGUAUGGUGUAGCGGUGAAAUGCUUAGAUAUCAUACAGAACACCGAUUGCGAAGGCAGCUUACCAAGCUACGUCUGACGUUGAGGCACGAAAGCGUGGGGAGCAAACAGGAGUAGAUACCCCAGUAGUC